rnacentral:rRNA from 1 species
CCUGACGCAGCGACGCCGCGUGAGGGAUGAAGGCCUUCGGGUCGUAAACCUCUUUCAGCAGGGAAGAAGCGCAAGUGACGGUACCUGCAGAAGAAGCACCGGCUAACUACGUGCCAGCAGCCGCGGUAAUACGUAGGGUGCAAGCGUUGUCCGGAAUUAUUGGGCGUAAAGAGCUCGUAGGCGGUCUGUCGCGUCUGCUGUGAAAACCUAGGGCUUAACUCUGGGCGUGCAGUGGGUACGGGCAGACUAGAGUGCGGUAGGGGAGACUGGAAUUCCUGGUGUAGCGGUGAAAUGCGCAGAUAUCAGGAGGAACACCGGUGGCGAAGGCGGGUCUCUGGGCCGUAACUGACGCUGAGGAGCGAAAGCAUGGGGAGCGAACAGGAUUAGAUACCCUGGUAGUCCAUGCCGUAAACGUUGGGCGCUAGGUGUGGGGUCCAUUCCACGGAUUCUGCGCCGCAGCUAACGCAUUAAGCGCCCCGCCUGGGGAGUACGGCCGCAAGGCUAAAACUCAAAGGAAUUGACGGGGGCCCGCACAAGCGGCGGAGCAUGCGGAUUAAUUCGAUGCAACGCGAAGAACCUUACCAAGGCUUGACAUGGGGUGAAAACUCGCAGAGAUGCGGGGUCCGCAAGGGC